rnacentral:lncRNA from 1 species
CCAAAAGAUGAUUUCUCUAAAAAUAAAAUGUUUCAACGUGUAUGCUUUACUUACAAGAAUGUUGAGUUUGCCAUCGAACAAUGAGGAGACAGUUUGUAUUAAUGUUUCUCUCUCGGGACGUGAGGUUACAUCACAGACUGAGCCACUCACUUGAAACCCUUUCUUUUCCCAUUCACUUAAGCUUUGACUGAGCAGUGUUUCAGAUAUGUCGCAUACAUGGAUUCUAGCUCCAAAAGCAGAUAAUUCAUCUACGAUGGCAUGCCUAAGCGGGCGUUCCACAAAAAAAAUAUCACUUAAAAUCUUGACCAUUGAAGACGAUAUCAAUAGGAAGAAAAACAAACCCGAUUCCUCCCGCUCCACCGGUUACAAGAGCAGUCAUACCUUGAAGACUCCACCUUUUAUCCAUCUUUACCUUUUGCAUGUUAUUUGCAAUGACUAGAAAUGCCAUAGAUUAUAUAUAUAUAUAUAUAUAUAUAUUAUAAAAUGAAGAUCACUAAGUGUGAAUUAAUUAUAUUAAAAAGAUAAGAUAAGUCUGAAAUGAAUGAUUGAGUAUGUAUGCCGACACAAGAAAAAGGAGUUUGUAUGUGUGGUGGAAAUGCAAUGUAGUCGUAUACUAUAAGCAUAUACUAAAAUUGGAGAAAAUGCUUGAAAUAUCAUAAGUUAACUAUUAUUAUUUUUUAAAUAUAUUCAAUCAAAAAUAUUUUAUCAUUUGCAGAUAAAAUUUAGUGAUUAUUGUUUAGAGUAUAAUAUUGAGAAACUUCUUAAAAUACAAUUUUCAAAAAUACACUCAAUCAAAAAUAUUUUAAUGUUUUGGUUUCAAGUUUAAUAAUUAUUUUUAGGGUACAAGUGUCUGUUUAGGUUAAAAUAAGAGAAAUUGCUUAAACAUUUGAGUUACGAUAUACUGAUUUGUAAACUUAAAAAUGACUUGUAAAUUUUCUUUUACGACACGAUAAGAUUUCCACCAGACAUACAACCAAUAAUUCGCUACGUUUCCGUCACAAAAUCCACGUGCGAUAGCCAUUAGAGCAUGAGCAUUGGUGAACCCCUCUUUGGGGUUCACAAGUUUAUUUUAAUAUUUUUUUAUGGGUCCAUGAAUAGUUAUGAAUCUGUAAUUGUUUUUUUCUGCAUUGGUGAACUUGAAGUAUGAGUUCAUAACAAUAAAAUAAUAAUAUAUAUUUUUUUUUUAAUAUUCAAAUUAUCCAGAAAACAAGAAUAAAAUAUUUAAAAUAUUAUUAAAUUUUUGAAAACUAUUUAUUCAAUACAUUAAAAGAUUAGAUUACAUAAAUUGAGAAAUAGAAAAACAAACAAAGUUUAUUCAUCUUCAUCACCAAACUUUUGCCAAAUAUUUUCCAUUAAAUCAGCUUUCAAACGAGCAUGCUUCUCUUGAUCUCGGACUUCUCUGCGCAUGGCUAACAUAUCACCGGCAUGAAUACUUUCUCUGGUUGUCACCUUUGAACUUCUGCUUGACUCUCCUGAUUCGAACUCAGAAGUAUUUAUUUGAGCGUAUCCGUGUCGUUCGUUCUCUACAAUCAUAUUGUGCAAUAUGACACAAGUUCUCAUUAUCUUUCCUAUCUUUUCCUUGUCCCAUUGUAGAGCUGGGUUUUUAACAAUUGCAAACCUCGACUGCAAUACUCCAAAAGCCCGUUCGACAUCUUUUCUGGCGGAUUCUUGCUUUUGUGCAAAUUUCUCGGCUUUAGGACCUUGAGGAAGUGGGAUGGAUUGGAUAAAUGUUGACCAGUUUGGAUAAAUUCCGUCAGUAAGAUAGUAGGCCAUACGAUAAGUGUGGUUGUUGACCUUGAACUUAACUUUAGGUGCUCGACCAUGUAAGAUGUCAUCAAAAACAGGUGACCGAUCGAGAACAUUGAUAUCGUUGAGUGUACCUGGUAAGCCGAAAAAUGCGUGCCAUAUCCAAAGAUCUUGUGAUGCCACGGCUUCUAAGACAAUUGUCGGCUUUCCUGAACCCCGUGUGAACUGACCUUUCCAAGCCGUUGGACAGUUUUUCCACUCCCAAUGCAUACAAUUUAUUGUUUACUUGUUGAGACAAAGGAGUCCUGAUAGAAUUGGGGGCAACAGCGUUGGCUCUUAUGCCGUCUUUUGCCCAUUCACAUGCCAAAUUUCUUGCUAACUGGUUCCGAGCUCCUGUACAAGACUUGUAUUAUGAAUCAACAAAAGAAAAGAGCAUCCUUGUUGAUUAGUUAAUCUUGCCUCUAGUAGUACUUUGGUUACCUUUUGCUAGACCAUAAAGGGAUCCACAAGAAAAUGAUACAACUCCAGCAACAGAGGAAGUGAAGACAAUGCUUCCAAAUCCAGAAGCCUUUAGGAGAGGAUGUGAAAGCUGACAAAAAUGGAAAGCAGCUUCCACAUUUAUUGAGAUAUGGAAAGUGAAAUCGUCUGACCCAUAUUCUGUUGUUGGUUUUUCACGAAGUCCGCCCACAUUGUUUACCUACGUUGAACCAAAAGAUGAUUUCUCUAAAAAUAAAAUGUUUCAACGUGUAUGCUUUACUUACAAGAAUGUUGAGUUUGCCAUCGAACAAUGAGGAGACAGUUUGUAUUAAUGUUUCUCUCUCGGGACGUGAGGUUACAUCACAGACUGAGCCACUCACUUGAAACCCUUUCUUUUCCCAUUCACUUAAGCUUUGACUGAGCAGUGUUUCAGAUAUGUCGCAUACAUGGAUUCUAGCUCCAAAAGCAGAUAAUUCAUCUACGAUGGCAUGCCUAAGCGGGCGUUCCACAAAAAAAAUAUCACUUAAAAUCUUGACCAUUGAAGACGAUAUCAAUAGGAAGAAAAACAAACCCGAUUCCUCCCGCUCCACCGGUUACAAGAGCAGUCAUACCUUGAAGACUCCACCUUUUAUCCAUCUUUACCUUUUGCAUGUUAUUUGCAAUGACUAGAAAUG